AUGGCCAGCGGCAACGCGUCCACCGCCUACCUCUCCAUCGUUGAGGACGUCGUCACCAAAGUUCGUAAGGACUUUACGAACUCCGGCGUUGGCGACGCCGUCCUCAACGAGCUCCAGUCUCUCUGGCAGACGAAGUUGCUGCACUGUGGCGCAAUCUCAGGGAACAUCGACCGCAACAGGGCUCCCCCCGCCGGAGCGUCCGCUGGCGGCGCGACUCCACCGGUGCACGAUCUCAACGUGCCCUACGAGGCCACGUCCGAGGAGUACGCCACCCCAACCGCCGACAUGCUCUUCCCACCGACCCCGAUCCAGACGCCACUUCCAGCUGGGAUUGAUACAUGGCCGUGGGACUAUGCCCCAUCGCCGAUCGGUGACAUAAGAAACGGGAUGGGGAUGAAUGGGGCUGAUCCAAAAUCUGGCCGCCCAAGCCCCUGCAUGCAACCUCCAUCGCCCUGGAUGAAUCAGAGACCACUGGGGCUUGAUGUGAACCUUGCUUUUGCCUAUGAGGACCCAGACCGGAUGAUGCCACUGACGAAGGAUUUUCUGAUGACUUCUUGUGGAAAACGGAAGAGGGAUGAAUAUCCUUCAGCUGCUUCAUUUGUGCCACAACAGGAUGGAUGCGCAGACCAGGUUGCGGUUCAUUAUGAUGCAACACCAAAGCCAGGAAACGAUACAGCGGGUGGUGAUGAUGAUGAACCUCCUCUUAAUGAAGAUGACGACGACGACGAUGAUGACAUAGAUGACUUUGAUGACACGCAGCACCUCGUCCUUGCACAGUUCGACAAGAUAACAAGGACAAAGAAUCGCUGGAAGUGCACUCUGAAGGAUGGAAUCAUGCAUUUGAACGGCAGAGAUGUUCUAUUCCACAAGGCUUCAGGAGAGUUUGAUUUUUGA
rnacentral:rRNA from 1 species